rnacentral:rRNA from 1 species
CGAGCGAGGACUUCGGUCCUAGCGGCGGACGGGUGAGUAACACGUGGGAACAUGCCAAACUCUACGGAAUAGCCUCGGGAAACUGGGAGUAAUACCGUAUACGCCCUACGGGGGAAAGAUUUAUCGGAGUUGAUUGGCCCGCGUUGGAUUAGGUAGUUGGUGAGGUAAAGGCUCACCAAGCCGACGAUCCAUAGCUGGUUUGAGAGGAUGAUCAGCCACACUGGGACUGAGACACGGCCCAG